rnacentral:rRNA from 1 species
CCUACGGGGGGCAGCAGUGAGGAAUAUUGGUCAAUGGACGAGAGUCUGAACCAGCCAAGUAGCGUGAAGGAUGACUGCCCUAUGGGUUGUAAACUUCUUUUAUAUGGGAAUAAAAUGUUCCACGUGUGGGAUUUUGUAUGUACCAUAUGAAUAAGGAUCGGCUAACUCCGUGCCAGCAGCCGCGGUAAUACGGAGGAUCCGAGCGUUAUCCGGAUUGAUUGGGUUUAAAGGGAGCGUAGGUGGAUUGUUAAGUCAGUUGUGAAAGUUUGCGGCUCAACCGUAAAAUUGCAGUUGAAACUGGCAGUCUUGAGUACAGGAGAGGUGGGCGGAAUUCGUGGUGUAGCGGUGAAAUGCUUAGAUAUCACGAAGAACUCCGAUUGCGAAGGCAGCUCACUGGACUGCAACUGACGCUGAGGCUCGAAAGUGUGGGUAUCAAACAGGAUUAGAUACCCUAGUAGUC